UGAUGUGCUUAUUCAAUUAUUAACUAAUAUUUACAUUAUUUAAAUAAUCAGUUUUUAAUUUAUAUAAUUAAUAUUAACUAAAAGAAUAAAUGAUUAAAUAAUUAAUUACUAUUAACAUGUUGACUUAUUUUUUAUAGUUAUUUACUAAUUAAUGUCAUCUUUGUCAUCUCAUAUAGUAAUUUUAAUUAAUUUAUAAAGUAAUUUUAAUUAAUUUAUUUAUUAACUUAUUAAAAUAUUAUUUACUAAUACUUAGAUGCUUAAUAUUUAGAUAAAUUAGUUUUAUUUUCAAUCAUAAUUACCCUUAUCCCUCCUAUUCCAACCCAAUCAACCAAACAUAAUUUUUCUUAUUUCUCUAGAUGUCUCGAUUCUUGUCCUAACACAAAAUUGAAUUAAUUCCUACCUAACUUAGAAGUUAUACCUAUCCCAAGAAUAAACAAAAAUAACUUAUUCUUGAACCAAAUGGUACUUAAACGGUUUUUUUUAAAAUAACUUAUUUUUGAACAAAACUACUCGCACUGGCGAGUUAAACAUCUGUAUGUACAUGAACUCCGACCAGAAAUAACUACUUGCUGUAGGGGCACCUAUAGCUCAACUCGUCUAGUAGGGCUCUAACUCGCGACGCCCUUACCUCGAUCCUGAUCAGCAACAGCAGCAGCCGAAGAUGAUGGCUCUGCAAAGCGAGGUAACAACAGGGCGUGAGAACUAC
rnacentral:lncRNA from 1 species